rnacentral:rRNA from 1 species
UACGUAGGGGGCAAGCGUUGUCCGGAAUUAUUGGGCGUAAAGAGCGCGUAGGCGGUCCGGUAAGUCGGCUGUGAAAGUCAAGGGCUCAACCCUUGAAGGCCGGCCGAUACUGUCGGACUAGAGUCCGGAAGAGGCGAGUGGAAUUCCCGGUGUAGCGGUGAAAUUCGCAGAUAUCAGGAAGAACACCUAUGGCGAAGGCAGCUCUCUGGGACGGUACUGACGCUGAGACGCGAAAGCGUGGGGAGCGAACAGG